rnacentral:lncRNA from 10 species
ACACACUUUCGCUCUGUGGGCACUUAGCAAAUACUUAUUAACUAAUUGGCUACAAUUCCUCGUCUACUGGUGGGAAAAUGGGGAGGUAAAAUAAAUUAGCUAGACCUCCAUGCUUCCUUAGUCACCCAAAGGAAGAGUUAUUAGUGGCUACAUACAGUGACUAAAAAUAGACAUCUGGUCAGGAAAAUCUGAAGAGAGAGAGACUAUCGGGGCUGCUUUUGGUAAACAGUUACACAGGAUACUUCACAAGAUACGUGAAGAGAGUCUUUGAGGUAAAAUCAAAUCCCUAUUAGGAUAAAUGAUUGAGUGUUCCUGUAAAGAAUUGUUCCCCUGGUUCAAGCAACCAGAUUUCAUUCCCAGAUGAUCAAAAAUGGACUUGAUGAAAUGGAAAAGCACUGAUAGAAACAGUUCCACUGCUCAAAAUUACUCCUGAAGGGAUGAGGACACCAGGAUAUGCCACCGGACCACUGAAGAGAUUGCUGUUUUCUGCCCCAGGCCUGUGCCAUGAGGGACACUUUCUCAGGACUCUUGCCAAUCUUUUCUGAGAGUACCUGGUGAGCUCUGUUGUGAAUUGCCUGUAAGUAGAUAAAAAUUCCCUUUAUAUUAUCCUCCCGAAAGGUUUGUAUAAUCUAGCCCACAUUUUGCCAUACUAAUU